UACGUAGGGUGCGAGCGUUAAUCGGAAUUACUGGGCGUAAAGCGUGCGUAGGCGGUUUUUCAAGCUUGAUGUGAAAGCCCCGGGCUUAACCUGGGAAUGGCAUUGAGGACUGAGAGGCUAGAGUGCGGCAGAGGGAGGUGGAAUUCCACGUGUAGCAGUGAAAUGCGUAGAGAUGUGGAGGAACACCGAUGGCGAAGGCAGCCCCUGGGUCAAGAUUGACGCUCAUGCACGAAAGCGUGGGGAGCAAACAGG
rnacentral:rRNA from 1 species